rnacentral:lncRNA from 1 species
AUUGUACCUUUUCUGUCCUGCUGUCUGUUGAAGGUACUGUCGAUGUUCUCUGCUGGUUUUGAUUCCAUUGCUCCUCCUCAAUGUUGAUCUGAGAAGCUUCAUUAGGUAAGAGGUCACCAGCACUGUGGUGUGCUUCCUGGCUGUGGUCCUCCGUCGUCUCAUCCGUGUUAACUCUGCGUUACCUCUGCUACUUCCCAGAUCCACAUUUAGUUCUUGCCUGGUGUAUCUUUAAAACUUUUAAGUUCUUGUAAACCUUCCCACAAUGACACUUAGUUUCUGUCGUUGUUCCAGUCAAAGUCAGUUGGAUUAGGCGAGUUAUCCGUUGUCCUGCUCAAUUGGUCGCUCAUCCUACCCUCUCUCGGAAGACCCUUAGGAUAUUGCUCAUUAUUCUGUGUUGUAGCUUGGUAUGGUGUUCCUUCGCAGGAACAGUGUGUAGGGGUGCCAACCCUUCACACCCUUGUUUCAGUCUUCCCUGAAUGUCAUCUGUCUCUCCUGACGUCACCAUUCUAUUAAUGGUUGUCAGACAGUCUUUUCCAGCAGUCACUGGUAGAUCCAGGUUACAAAUUACUUACAUACAGUAGUGGUGAAAUUACUGCAAACACCAUCAAUGUCCUCAGCCGAGGCCAUCUGUCAUCAUGUUUCGGCCCCUAGCUCGGAACACUCUCAGGAAAAAGGGGGGGGGGGUCCACAGAGGUGAUCAAUCAUUGUGCAUUGGUGGUGGGUUUCAAGUUACUAUUGUCUCUCUUCGUCCAUAUUAAGCAAAACACUUUGCAGAAUUGGUCAACAACUGUUCAAUAAUGUAGUCUUUUUAUUGUACAUUUGAAUUAACUUUUUGUAUUGAAAAAUAUCUUCCUUGUAACAGUCAUGUUUGUCUGUUAACAAAUUUACACAGUGAAAUAUUAAAGUUAAAUAUAGUUGGUCAUUACGAUAAUAUUCCGAGAUAAAAUAUUUAAUGUUAAUGUUGUAAAUGUGUGUUAUUUCAGAUGAAUACCAUUUUGUUCUUGUUUGUCCAGCUUAUGGACCUGUACCAACAUUUUUUUCGUCAAAGUUUUAUUGUCCUUGGCCAAUUAAUUACAAACUUUUGUGUGUACCACAAGCGUCUUAUAAGUCUCUUACUAUCAACUUGUGUAAAUAUGUAAAAAAAAAAAUAAUGCACGGAAUAUUCGAUCAAACAUAGUCUCAUAAUUGUAUAUGUCAGUGUAUUAUAUAUACUAUUGUUCUAUGUUGUUAAUUCAUGUUUUAUUGUAUUUUUAAUAUCUGUUGUAGCAUGAUUAUGCUAUUGCAAUAAAGAUCCAUU